rnacentral:lncRNA from 1 species
ACUUCUGGCAAUUUAUCUUUGUACUAAACUAAAAGGAUAAAAUAAGUUAACUUCUCUUCAUAUGUAAUUAUGUAUAAAUGUUUAAUUUAUUUUGAUCUCUUUAGAAGUAUAAAACAAAAAUGACAUUCAAGAGCGUUUAAACUCUUGAGAUGUUUGCUAAUAUAAAGUGUUGUAUUAUCUUGAGUGGAUAGUAUCACAUCAAAUAUAUAUAUGAAAUAUAAAUUCACUAAUGGGUUAUGGGAAAAGGGACAUAUUGUAAAGUUUAAAGAUGCAGUUCUUGUCUCUUGCAUGGUGUCUCUCACUGUAUAUAUCUGAGUGUUAUUCACAACUUUGUUUGAAAAUUGCAAUCAUUGAUUGCCCAGUUUCCCUUCUAAAAAAAAAAAAAUUGAAAAAAAUUCCCAAAAAGAUUAUUAUUAUUAUUAUAGAUACCAGCAAGUGGAUUUAAAACCGUCCUUAGGUGGUGGAUGAACGUAUGGAUGAAAUGCACUGUGAGGUUUUUUUUUGGUUCUUUUAAUUUAUUUUUUUUUCUCUCAAAAAGCAAUUCAUAAAUUACAUUUAGUACUUCUUUAUGUGCUGCUUUUUGGGGCAUACAUCCUGUGAAAUAUUUUUUACAAAUACCAUAAUAAAAGCAUUUGGUGGUAAAUAGGGACACCUCAACAUACAGUCUGUUGACAUGACGCACCUUGCUGCUAGGUUUGAAAUAGCGUAAAAGUAAAUGUGUGGACAAUUAAUUUAUAUAGGGGAGAUAAAAAAUAAAAAAAUUGUCCAUAUUAGAAAAGUGAUGUCAUGUUCUAAAAGUAGAUCUGUCACAAUGGAAUCAGAAGGAAUGUUCCUUAUGGCUCCAUAAUUUCAAACUUUAAACCAUGUUUCUACUAGUCACUUUUUAAAAUCUCCUACUUUGUGUCCUGUGCAAAGCAGUUCAUCUUUUGCCUUCAAAUAUUUAGGCUAUAUAAUAAGAAUUGCAAUUUUUAUUAAGAGAGUUCACAUACUGUCUUUGUCAUCUUUGUUUCUGUGCAAGAACAUCUUCAGCUGUCUGCCAUAUGAACAUCUUGGUGGAAAUUUUGGAGAGACAUGAAAAUACGUACGUUUUAGCAAGACUCAGUAUAUGGUUCCUAUUAUUAGGUCAAUUUAUCUGCCCUAUAAUCUAGGUUUCUACUGCUCUCUGAUGGGAGAUGUUAACUAAUAAAUUAGGUGUUGCCAAAUAAUAAGACUUUGGGUCCUAAAAGAGUGAGCAGUUUAUUACAUUCAAUGUUAGCUUGGCACAAUCACAGUCAAAUGUAUAUUGUUAGAAAAUAGAAAUGUUCCCUCUAUGCAGUUUUAGGUGAAGGGAACUUGGCUACAUGGAAACUAAUGGGUAUGUAACUAUUAGGAGUAACUUUUCCUGAUGAACAUCCAGUAGCACACAUGCAGGUCUAGAGGAGAGACAUCACAUAUAUAUAUUCAUCUUCAAAGUGUUUUCCCCAUAAGUUUCAUUAUUUUUUUAUUUGUUAUGUGGAAGCAUGAAACUGGUGUUUCAUUGUAAUUUUCCUGUCGUCCUUAAGGCUGCCUAAGGUUAGAUAUUUUCUUGUAUCUCUUCUCAUAGAGACUACCAUUUCUUAUUUGUCAAUCUGCCAGAAUUAUGGAAUAAAACAUAAGCUCUUUUGAGCUUAUUCCUGGUCUUUUAAAUGUGUUACUUAUAUUUUUUGUCUACCGUUCACAAGCACUGAGGAACAUGUUGACUAUUUAUACAUAGGAAUAACUAAGGAAGAACAGGUUUACAAUACAACAUUAAGAUGUCUAUCUUAAAUAAAUCUGUUCAUAUCAUGAGACUGGUAUUAAAUAACCAACUAUUUAUCUCCUCUUUCAAUUCUUUAGAUCCAUUUAAACCUUUUGAAAUUCUAAGUAUGAUCCAUAGACUAUCUAAUUUAUGAUCAAUUUUCCUGUUUUGCAAUAUUUUAGUUCAUUAUUUUAAACAAUUCUGCAGUAAUUAUUGAUGCUGCAUUCCUAAUAAGAUCAAGAAGAAGCAUUGUCACUUUUCUCUAACCCUGUGAAGUAAGCAGCGUAAAAUUAGUAAAUUCAUUGUCGAGAAUUGCAAGAAAUUAGUUAUUAUUUAAAUUUAAUUUUAUGGACCGUUUUAUUAAUGUUUAGACAGCAGAAUAUUAAUAGUACAUUUCAAAAUACCUCUGUUUGUAGAGUUGAAGUUUUUUUUGUUUUGUUUUUUGUGAGAGCAAGCUUUGGUUUUAUUUAUUUUUUAUUAACCAAUGAAACACGCAUCCACCAUUUUGUUUCAACUGAGAGAGUCUUUUUUUCCCUCUCCUUUGCUUCUGUAAUAUAAAUCCAAGACAAUGUCAGAUGGAUAGUUAUCCUUAUUAUUGAAGCACUUUACUAGCAUUUUAUUAAUGACCACAAACAAUAAAAUGAGAUUUUACAUCUCACUUUUAAUGCGGUUUUCAUUGCUUUGUUUGGGUAAGAAACAAAUGACUGCCAUAUCCUUGGCCUUUUAUGAACUAUAGAUUUCUUGUUAAAUUCCGUUUAUGUAAAGGGAACAUUUAAAGAAAUUCAGAUAUACUUGUAAAACGUUUUAUUAUUUAUCUACUUGGUGAAGGUGUCAGUAAGAUAUUCUCUGUUGUGUACAUUCUGAUCAGUGAACCUGCACUUCCUCAUAGCUUUAUUUUUUAUUGGUUAAAAACAAGCAGCCAAUCACAUUACUCAACUUUGAUUUCAAGUGUGUCGGGUUGAAACUCUUAUUACCUGCUUUCAACUUGGGAGUUCAUUCAGCAAUAAAAUAAUUAGUAGACACUGACAUUUUUUUUUGUUCUGUGUACUUAUUUUAAAUACUGAGCAUUUUUAUUAUCAUAUAUUGCCAAAAAAUAGUUUUGUCCAUAAGACAAAGUAGUUCCCAUGUUUUAAUAAUGGUGUCUUCAAAUUGUGUUGAAAUUUCAAUUGCGUUUAUAGACUUUCCAAGAUUUUCAAGAAGAUUCUAUCUCUGGAAAACCUCAAAAUGGCAAGUCCUUUUAAUAUACACAUAAUCUAAAUACACUAAUACACCAUUUUACUAGUAUGCCAUAAUGAAAUGGUAUAACUAUCUGUAUAUUUCACAGAAAUCCCUUCUGGUUGUCAUUUCUGUAAUGUUCAUCUGUGCAUAUGUGCUGUAUGGGUAAUUGAAUAGAAAGCCACUUUUUUUUAAAGAAACAGCAGGUGGGCCUGAGUUAGUAUACACUCCCUGCUGUACUAUCUGCCGUUUCAGCUGCUGCCUAGCAUGUCUUCUAUAGGAUAUGUUCUGUGUUACUCAUGAAAUAGUUGGAAUAACAGAAUUGGGUUAACUGUCCCUGGUCUACCUAGGCAUUAAGUCAAACAUUGCUUAUCUACACGUAGAAAAAACUCAGCUAGUGCAGUACAACAUAAUACAACAGCAAUGCCUACAUUGUUUUAACUUUAUUGAUACAUUUGAUUGUAGCAGGAAGUCCUACAUUUUAGAUCUUGACAGGAGAGCCUAAAAAAAAAGAAACAAUAUCAAACAAUUGGCUUCAAAGCUGUAAUGCUGAUUGGCUGCAUGAUGUCUUCCAGAGUUCUCCAAAUUCUGGCUUUCUAGAUGUUGCUGAACUACAAUUCCCAUCAUUCUUUGAAUGAAAUAGAUAGCCAGAGAAUUAUGGGAUUUGAAGUUCAGCAACAUCUGGAAGAGUUCUCCAAACAUCUGGAGGACCAGAAUUUGGAAAACCCUGGAAGCCAAAUAUAGAUCCAGCUAGAAUUCAGAUAGCGCCCAAAUGAAAACAGGCCAUUGGCUACUUUAACAUGAAGGUUUAAAGGGGUAUUUAACCUCCCAGGAUUUUUUACAUUAUAUUUACGUACCCCUAUGUUUAAAGAAAAUGCAUUUGCGAGGUGUGUGAAAUAAAAUUAAAUAUAAUAGUCCAGACUCCUUUAUCCUACACCUGGACACCUCCAUCUUAACUCCCUGUCCAUCACAUUCUGUCCUGUGCACUUGGCAGUGAGCAUAGAGAAAGCAUACAGAAAAGAGGAGAAACAAAACAAUGUUGUUAUUUCUUUACCUUAUUUGCAAUGUUUGUCCUGGCUUUGCCUUGUCUGAACUGACUUAUGAUGUAUUUGUAAAUAUUUAAUAUCAAGUUAAAAGAAAACAGAGUCUGUCAUGAAAAAAAUAGUAACACAAGGUAUAGGUGAUUUUCAGUGUUUUAUUCAAUGGUGUCAAUUUCAGAUAAAUGAUUGCUCUCCUUUAACCCCUUAAGGACCAAACUUCUGGAAUAAAAGGGAAUCAUGACAUGUCACACAUGUCAUGUGUCCUUAAGGGUUUAAGUGAGUAAUUAAAGUAAAACAAAUGUAAACAAAUAGAGCACUUGAUAUUGUAGCAGAGAGAUUUCUGACAUUGGAGACAUUUCUGUCUUGAUUUUAUGAUCAUAGAACAGGGAUAGCCAACCUUCGACACUCCAGAUGUUACACCCAUAAUGCUGGCAAGGCAUCAUGGGAGGUGUAGUCGAAAACAUCUGGAGUGCCGAAGGUUGCCUAUGCCUGUCAUAGACCAUUGCAGUCACACAAUUUUGGCAGGAGAAAAUACAUAGUAAUGCCAUGCUAUAGGCUCCCCAGCUGUUAUACUACAAUUAAGGGAUAUUUAGAGCAAAAACUGGAGACCUUGGAUUAGGCAUCCCAUGUUUACGCUGUCACAGUUCUACAUUUUCUUUUGUUUGAGUUUAUAGUAGACAUUAAAAAUUGGAUCUUCCAGACAGGAUGAGAUAAUGUUUCUUUAAAAGGACACUAUAGUCACCAGAACAACUACAGCUUAUUGUAUUUGUUCUGGUGAGUAUUAUCAUUCCCUGCAGGCUUUUCGCAGUCAACACUGUUUUCUCAGAGAAACGGCAGCGCUUACAUUGCUCCCUAUGGACAUGUCUACUGGCCACUCCUCAAAUGGUUACUAGAGGCUCUUCCUGUGGCAGUACUGCACACUGUGCAGCACUGACAUUUAUUGUCUUCAUCCUCUGCAUGAAGAAACUGAACUUUCAUCAUAGAGAUGCUGAAUGGCCAGGGCGGCAUUUGGCUCCUCUCCACUCCCCCCACACACACACACACCUUCUUGGCAAUCACAGCCAAUCCAAUGCUUUCCUAUGGUAAAGCAUUGUGAUUGGCUGAGAUCAUCACUUCUGGACAAGAAGGCAGAUAAGGGGCAGAAUCAUCAGACUGAAAUAAAGGUAAGAUUUUACAAUACUUAGAGCAGGCAGGAGGGUAGAUAGUGAUUUUAACACUAUAGGCACAGGAAUACAUGUUUGUGAUCCUGACCCUAUAGUGUCCCUUUAACAUUAUGCGCACUUUACUACUGUUUAUCUUAAAUGUGUGGCUUUAAUGCACCAUUGGAAUUAUGCAUCAGUUUAGUAAAUCAGUCAUCAAUAUAACCAUAUCCCUAAUCCCUGGUAGUUUCUUGAGUUUGGGAUUUGGCAUUAGUAAAAUCAUUACAUCUCUUUAGCUGUAUGGAAGUGGAGGAAAUAGUAAUGAACCAUUCUGCUGCGACAAUAAAUGAGUUGUGUCCAUUCUGCUUUUGAAAAUGAUAUACCGUAUAAGGCUUUGAUUUUGACUGAAAAAUGAACCGGUUAUAAAGACAUUGUACAUAAAAAAGUGUUUUGCAACAUUUGCAAAUAUAUAUUUUGACAUUGCUGUACCUUGUCAAAAUGUGAAAUAUGUGGAGUUUCAUUGCUUUAUUUAAGGUGCACCUGCCAUACAAAUAUGAGAUAGUGACAAUUUGCAAAAGGGACUAUAUUGUUAAAGGGACAGCACAGGCUGGAGUUGACCCUUUUAUUUGAAAUGUAUCAUAUAAGUAAACUUUAUGCAAAAUUAUAAUUACAAAAUAUGUAUGUUAUUUGUAAAUCUUGCUUUUGUUAUCCACUAUUUUGUCAGUCAUGUCUUUUAUUUAGAAGUUUCCAUGUCUUUUAUUUAGAAGUUAGUUCCAUUUCUUUAAUGUAUCUGUUUGACACUUGUUUUUUGAGAAAUCUAUACUCAUCUAGAAUACGUAUGACGUUCCUCUAGAUAAAAAGGUGUUCGUCUAUUUGGAAAGCGUUAAAGGGAAACUAUUAAUAAAGAUGUAUACAGAAUUGUCUAGCAGAACAAAGUAAGAAAUGACUCAAAAUAUCAAGUGAGGGCUAAGGUUCACCAGUUUAAUGAAUGGAGGUGCUGUCUAACCUUUAAAUGGGAUAAAUGGAUAUCUUGACAUGUAAACAGUGAGUUGUAGGCAAUAAUUACAUAAUAAAGUGGCAAGAAUGGCUUGUGCAGACAUGCUGUGGGCAUCACAAACAUUUUUUUAAAAGUUGCCAAGAUCCUUCUACAUAGAAUGCUUAUGGUCUGAUUAGGAAUGCAUUAAUGGGGGCUUUUAGUAAGGGAGAGAUUCUAUAAAUUCACACAGUAGAGAUGUAACCAAAUAUUAUGUAGUUCUUUCUGGUUUCACUGUAAAAUAAGCUAAUUGUGACAUCAGGGAUCAUAGACUACAUUUACAACCCACAGUGAUGGUCAUACAAUGAGCUUAAGGAUUAGAUUGCUAUCCACUUCCCAACUACCCUGAAAUCCUGGUAAGAAAAUUGAAACAAUAAUAAUACUUUUGGGGGUUUUAAAACAUUUUUUUUUGUAAUUCCAUUUUAAAGGGCUAAAUUCUCAACCACAGAUUGCAGUGAAAAAAAAUUACGUUAGCCUCAAAUAUCAUUGACCAUUGGCAUUUUCUCAUUGGCAAAACAUUGUUUUCUUAAAAGAAUGAUGCUACGAGUUAAAUCUAAUGCAGACAUAAACCUUAGUCUGGAUCAUCGUCGGAGAACUGCAGUUUCCAGUACUUACCAUUUCAAAUAGUUAUAAAGCCACUACCCGGUUAGGUCGAUCAUACUGUUAUAUCCAUUAUAUCUGCCAGUUUUUAUUUAUAGAUUAGAAUUAUUCUACCUAGUUUACGUAAGAAACAAAAAACAACACUGUAUGUGAUAUAAUCCACUCUUAAAUCUUUGUAAUUGUAAAUGAAAAUUCUAGAGGAUGCCGAAUGCUGUUGACAUGCGUGAAAUGCUUCUUUUUUUUUUUCUUCUGAACGCGGUGUCAUGGUAAUCCAUGUGGUAGGCAAUGGAGUAGUACUGUAGACCUAGACAUCAUCUUCUUAUCCAUCACGACACAAAAUGGUGGGUUGUUUCAUUAACAAAUAUGAAUAAAUGGCUGAAUUUCUACAUGGAAAGUCAAAGUGGUGCCACGUGCGUAACCCUUUAACAGUAUACGGGACCCAUUAUGCCAGCAUCUGACCUCAGGUAUUAGUUGGUGGAAAAAACUGAGUUUGAAACCGCUGUAAAGUAAAAUACUUGUCUUGGUAAAGGAGGCAGGAACAAGUAGCACUCUAUGUCAAGUAAAAAGGGCGUUGAUCCCAUGAAGGUUGUUAUCCAAAAUUUUCCUAUAUUGUGCCCAUCAUUCAUUGCAGCGCCCUCUGGUGUUGGCAUGGUUUUUAAGAAACAGCAAUAAAGGAAGAUUGUUAUGUAAUAGCAAACCGUAUUGUAGAUAAACCAUUCAUGGAAUCUUGUGACAUGUCUUGUCUUGUGAACUUGUGCUGUUUGAAGUCAGAUGAAAACCGUGUAGUCAGCUGGAUGCACAGAGAAGAGUACACCAUGAAAAUAACAUACACCAUACACAAAUCAAUCCAAGAGAUUCCUCAUGGUGCUUGUUUAAUUAUAUUUAAUUCUGCUUGACACUUUACCUAAGGGGAGAUUGUCCCUGUUAUCAGUUGAAUGUUAGCAGCGUUAUUCCAUAUAGAGAGUGUUGACUGUUUUGAGAUCUUCAUUUAUUCAGCCAUUCACAGCUGAAAACAAGAAAGAGAAAAAAAAAAUACAAAUACAUUUUUAUGUGCGAAAGACAGCAACCUUGUAUGUUAAAUCACCAGUACGCUUUGUACAUCUGUGAUAACGCCUGUUUUAUAUUCAAAUGAACAAAUAAAAGCUUUUAUUUUUGUUGCUCUGAAAA